UAAACAGAGAGGGGGGGGGAGAGAGAGGUGUUUAGCGAAUCACGCCUUUUGUCUUCUAUAUCCGAUGGCGACGUGUAGCGACGAAGAAACCAGAAACCUAGUCCGGUCGCCACACCCAUCGUUGCCCUCCUCGCACCUCUUAUGCCCCUGCCGCCGUGCCGGCCUCCUCCUCGAAGAAGCGCUUCCCUGUCGCCGAGGCGUCGGCCCUCGAUUCCGGAGUGGAAUCCAGUGAUUAGCGGCGAUGGUCGAGAGGAGGAGGAGGUGAGGCCGGUGGUGUUGAAUGACAGAGAGUAUGCGGAUGGGAUCGGGAGAAUCGAGGAUCAGGGAAUCAGAGGUGGUGUUCCGGCCAAGUUCUUGUACCGGGAAUCGGCGCCGGCGUACUGGAGGGCCAAGGAGAAAAGCUAUUUGUUGCUGUUCCAUCCCACAUAUUCAAGUUUUGGACAUUUCUGGAAAUAAUGUUUUAGCUUCUAUCCUUCUACAUCAAGGUUGAGGGUUGGCAUAUGGCAGAAGGUUGAGAGAGAGCAGCAGAUUUUGAAGACCUCGAAGCCUGAUAGUGAUCCACUGCUUUGCACUUUCUAUUUGUGCAUUCUUUAUCAUUCCUUUCUUGCUUUCUUUUCUUUUUUAUUUCAGGGUGAAAAAACAUAAAUGAUGAAUUAGAUUAGCUGUAUAUGGGGGCAUUUGGUUGCCUAUAACCAUAAAUGACAACAUGUAGUGAUUAUAAGCAAAAAACAAAUACCUAUAGGUUGUAGUUGCAACUGCAAUCCAAUCCAGAAGUGUGACAUGUGACGUUUUAGAUUGUGAGUUUAUUUGCAGUAUGUAAGGGUUCAAUUAUAUGUACACGUGGUACAAAUGGCUUAAUUGCAAGGAAUCAAAUAUUUGUGAGUAAGAUGCUUGUCGCGAAAGGACUUACAAACAGACUAAUUGCAGGCAACCAAAUUUCUCCACUUUUUAUGCUACUUCGGCCCAGUACGGACUGUUCUUCAAGUUCCUUUUUUUAUGAUGUGAUAGUAGUGUAUAAAUCCUUUGUUGGACUUGGAGGUUACAUGAAUCCUUCUCUUUUUCUAUAGAAAGGCAUCUAUUGAAUUGCCUCUUUUGCCUGAUCAAAGAUGUGUUUCUUUUUCCUAUUGCUUGGAUAAGGAUACAUUUCCCCUAGAUGCUACAUUACCCUUUAUUUUGUGGCAAAUUCCCCUGGCCAUACUGACAAAAUGCUUCCAGGAUAAAUUCAGAAAUUCCAUGGUAUGUUUACUUUCAUUGUUCACAUCAACUAUUUCUGCUUUGAGGAAACGGCAUUUUCUCCAUCUUUGUUCCCUUUAUAAUAACAGACGAAACAUAAAUCUGAUGGCUUUCACCUUUAUUGAAAUU